CUUUAAUGAACAUGUUUACAUACUUCUAAAUCACAAUUGUUCUGCCAGCACUAGCGUAGACAUAGGAAGAACAAAAAGAAUAAAACAUUUUCUUCUCAAAAUCUGGUUUAUCAGAUAUAAGCAAAUGUCUUUCCCAGUCUGUCUGAAGCUAGCAGUGCUAAAUUUUAACUCUGCAGAAAGUAUUUAGCGUAAUAUAUGUAAAUAUUAUGUUAAAAGUUUCACAUCCUGUUUUGAACAGUGGCAAAAAUUUCCUUUCAGCCUUUAGGUUUUCCACUAAUUUCUUUCAUAUUGAAUCAGAGAAGGCUAAAAAAACUACUGAUCAGAUCUUACUGAGCUUUAUUGUAAUGUAGUUUAAGUGAAUGCAGACGGUUGGUUUUGCUUUUUAUUUUUACUUUUUCACUUCAUUUUUUUUCCCUCCAUGUCUGAAAUACUAUACAAGGGGAGAAGUUCUUGUGGCAUUAACACGAGAGUCUCAAAAUGGGCCAGAAAAUAAAUAUUAUAAAAAACAUGUCAUCCAAAUCAAAUAUUGUACUAAUAAGGGAAAGUGGAGAGUUUACAAUUGUGGUUCAAGGUUUUACAUGCAAGGUAGCUCAGAAGUUAGCUAAAUACAUUUCAGAUGGAUGUAAAAAGCAAGGGAAAUGUGUUACGUAUCUUCCAAUGGGGAGAUCUCAAGCCUACCUCCAGUUACAACCCUGGAGGUCAAGUUCCCAAGCGGUUACCAAUGGGGCAAUUGAAACAGGCUCAGGUCCUGCUCUUGCUUCAACAACAUUCACCAGGCAAAAAGGCAGAAGAUCUGCUACAGCCUGACAAAGCAGGAGGCUGGCCCAUGGGCCUGCAAGCAAAAUCCUGAGAACUAUCUUGUAUUAGAUGGAGCCUUUAGGUUUCCUUAUACUUGGCAAAAAAUGCUGCUACUGACUGUUGGCUCAUGGUGCUUAACUUUCUAAUUGCCCUAACUAUGCUAAAUUGCACUGUGCAGUCCCUUAACAAUUAUGAAGGUUAGCAACAGUUUUAACUGGCAGAAAUGACAUGAAUAUAAUUGCAGGGUUGUCUGAAAAAAGCAUGAAAGUCAGUAAAUACCAGAGUUAGGAUUUUCACAGCUAUAUGGACCGUCCUGUGCUGUGCAUCACCUGUAUGAUGGAAUAAGAGAAUUGCAAUAGUACUCUAAGAUUGUAUGCUUGUGUAGAAAAAAGCCCUCAAUAUGACUUACGUGGUAGGAGAAGACAAACAAACCUGCUCUGAAACUCAUAAGUUUUAUACAUUUUGUUGCACAUAGCUGUAAAACCCCAGCACUGCACUGAUGCAUCCACUCUCUUUUCAUACUCUGAUGCAGAAUGGCUGUGAGUAGUUACAGCUGGUGUGCCCCAGUUUCCAGAGGAAACUAUGAUGCCUCAUCUCCGUGCAGUGGCUGACAGCCUUCAGGUGUCUGUCUCUCUUUGGAGGUGUGAUGUGUGUUGGAGGGAUGUUUUCUCCUCUUGUUUCUUGUGCACACUGUGAUGACUGCAUGUGACUUUAGUGAAGGGUGCAAUCAAUCAUAGCACUGGUUACGUAAAAAUUCUUUGUGGAACAACUCCACCAAAAUUCACGGUUCUAAGUACUCACUAAGUAGUGUAAACAAUUUUAAUCCAGUAGUUUAUAUCAAAGAGCUAAUGUUGGCUAUCAGAACCUAACUGAAGAGUUUUCAGCUGUUCUCAGUAUAAUUGUGAAAUAUUACCAAGACUGCCACAGAGCAGGCUGAAUUUGGUAAUCCAGGACAGCUCACAUGACCAGAUUGUUUUCAGGUGUCGAUCUGGUCAGCUGUUUGACUGUAUUUUAAUAUAUAUCAAUGUAUGCAAUAAGUUAAAUUAUUUUAAAUGGGAUAUUUUAAAAGAUAAUAAUAGAUACUGCAUUUGUGCAGCAAGCUGUAGCUGCUCUGCUAUAGGUCUACUUUCCAUAGGACUUUUCAGAAAACUGCAUUGUUUUCACCUCUGUGACUGGCAACCAAGAGUAAAAGCUGUAGUUUAGAAGAGCAAACAGGUAUGAGUGGCACAGGCUGAACAUGGAUUAUUUAGAUAGCUGACCAGCUUCAGUGUGAAAUAACAUCAUGAAUGAACAGAAUCUAGCUUGUUUUGAUUAUGCUUUCAAGUUAGGGCUCUUUAAGGGAUUGUAUAGGAUCCUCUGCAGCUAGCAAGCUUACUAUGGGUCUAUUUUUAACUAGAUGGUUAUAGGUUAUGGAUAUUAAAUAGGAUGGCCACAUCAGUGAAUCCCAUCUUAAAUAUUAGUGAAGCAUUUAUGCUUGUUGUUUUAAAGUGCUUCUAAAAUCCAUAGCAAGACCCUUAAUCUUAGUUACUUUAUUGACAGUCCCUGCCAGAGAAACCAACUCUGUAGAAGCUAGUAUUAAUUUACAUCAUGUCAAAGUAAUCAAAAUUGCAGAGAAGCAUUUUUUGCUUAACCAUCUAUGGAAAAAUCAGUGCAUUCCUCUUUCCAUCUUCUGGGGUACCUACAAAUUAUUUCUUUAAGCGUUUAUAAAGAUAGCUCAGUGUGUGGGAUUUUCUAAUGAGCCCUACUGAAUUCUAGUUUGUGUUUCCUUUGGUGAAGUGAACAUGCAUAUCCCCAAGUAAGCAAACUGCACAGACCCUGUUCAGUUUGAAGAAUUUAGCAGUCCUGAAAGCUUAAGCAUUCCUAGAAAAGUUUGGAUUCCCUUCCAAAUUGUAAUUACAGUUUUUAAUAGUAUGAGGGUUUCCGGGAUGGACUGUAUCCAGAAGAGUUCUUCCAUUUAUCAGCUCAACACCUACUCUUUGAGCAAGAAAGAGGGCAAACCCUAGGAAAAAAAGAAAGGAAAAAGGAAAAAGGAAAAAGGAAAAAGGAAAAGGUAGGAAGGAGGGAAGGAAGGAGGGAAGGAAGGAGGGAAGGAGGGAAGGAGG
ensembl:lncRNA